CCUGGUCCUGCGCGCACUCCCGCCCCACUGGCACUCCCGUCCCACGUGCACUCCUGCCCCACACUCGGAAGCAGCUGUUUGUCAGGCUGUUGCAAGGACAGCUGUGGUAACGGAUGAAAAAUGUCUGUAAAGGAAAAUGUUUUGCCAAUGUGGAGAAGGUGGAAUGAAAAAUGGCAGAAGCACUAAAAGGCAUCAAAAUUGAUGAGUUCAAAAACUGUUUUGAGCAGUGAAAAAAAUGUCUCGAUAAAUGUAUUGCAUCAAAUGGAAAGUACUUUUAAGGUGACUAAAGUUUAAACAGGAAAUGUGUGCAGCACGGAAAUGGGAUUGGAACAGUAGCGCAGAGGUUCCUGUAAGAGGUGCGUCCCGGUGGGUUGUGAAGGGCCGUGGGGACGUGUCCCGAAGCUGUGCUCUGAGUAGUGAGUUUUCUGGUUCUGAUUAGCCUGGAGCAGUUUUCUACAGAUGCUUUUAUUCAUUCCUUAACAAGAUUGAGAGCACAUGAA